rnacentral:lncRNA from 1 species
CUUGGAGGAUCCGGUGAGCAUCUGGACGACUUGCUUGAAGGAGGAAGCAUCGGUUUGGAAGAAGGUAGUUCGUUCAGACAUGGAGGUAACGUGUCGGGUCGGACUGCUGAUGCUGCUUGGUGAAGGAAGCGAGCUCUGUGCGUUAUCUUUGUAUCUUGGUGAAUUUUUCAUUGAAGCACGCGUUGAGAAAGAGGUCUCGUGUUUACACUUUUACACUAGUUGAAGGGAAAUGUAUGUGUAAUUUUAUAAGAAAGAACAAGUCUAAUUUUUUCCAAAAAUAAUUAAUCAUUUAGUAAUUAAUUAUUUAAAGUUAUAGAUAAUGUAAUAAAUAAGUUUGUAUCUAUUUGGUGGCAAAUAGCAAACUGAGAAGUUUUUUAGAAAACAACCGGCAAAAGUUGAUCACUGGAUAAAAUUAGACAUUCACAUUGAAAAUAAAUUGAUGGAAAUAUUACAGAAAAUUAAUCUAAGGGUGAUUUUUCUUUUCUCUUUCGUUUUACUAGUAAAAACAAAAGUAAUUUGUUUUGGGAGUAAGAAAGAAGUUUUGUUUUAAUUGACAGGAAAAGUCCUUCCUCUUUGUGUGUGUUUUGGUUCGAAAUGUUCGGAUGGGGCCUAUUUUCUUUCAGAGAGUAUUUAUUAGGGGUGGACACUUCCGUUAUUUUCUCGGUUCGGUUUGGUUAGUUUGGUUCUAGUAUUUUUCCAACUGAAAUAAACCAUAGUUAGUUUGGUUUGGUUCGGUUUGUGUUCAGUUCAAUUUAUAUUCAGUUCGGUUUGUUUUCGGUUCGGUUGAGUUUUUUUUGGAUCAGUUUAAUUAGGUUCUUCUUAGUUUAACUUUUUUUAAGAGAAAUUAUUUUUUAAAACAUAAAUUAUGUAAACAUAAACUAUAUGAACUAAAUUCAAUUUAAAACUGAAACAAAAACUUUUUAAAAGUGUAAAAAAAUAAGAAUUAAAACAAAUAAAAGUUGACUAAAAAAUCAACAUCAUUUUUAAGAGAAAUUAUUUUUUAAAACAUAAAUUACGUCAAUAUAAACUAUAUUAACUAAAUUCAAUAUAAAACUGAAAGAAAAACUUUUUAAAAGUGUAAAAAAAAUAAGAAUUAAAACAAAUAAAAGUUAACUAAAAAAAAAUCAACAUCAUUAGUAAUAUCUUUUAUAUCAUUAUUAAAAAGCCUACAAUAAAUCAUCUUCCAUGUGAUAUGUGACGCUUUGGAAAAGAACUUUUUUUUGUUAAUUAAAUUUGCUUUAGAUUUUAGGUUUAAAUUUAACAUCCACGUUUACAUAUAUAAAAAUAUAAAAAUACAGACUUUUCUAUUUUUUUAAAUCAAAUAUUUUAAUUAUUACAUGUUCGGUUAAAAUAAUAUAUGUUAAUGAAUGAAAAAUGGAAAAUAUCUGGUUUGAUAUUAGAAUUUUAAUAUAUUGGUAUUACUAAUAUUUGUAAUUUAAAUAAUUAUAAAAUACAUCGUUUUCCCGGUUCGGUUUAAAACUGAACCAAACUAAAUCAUUCGGGUUGGAGAAAUUUUCAACCGAAUGGUUUGAAAUAGAUUUUGGUUCGGUUUGACUCGGCUUGACUCGGUUUGGUUCGUUUUUUUUCCACGCCUAGUAUUUAUAUGCUGUCACGCGCCGUAUGUUGAGAGUGACGUGCACGCGGCGCCGUCAAAACUAGGGAACUGGCUACGUUGCUUGGUGCAUGGGUGUUAUGGUGUGUAUGUGUUGUCCCUACUGACUUUUUCAAUUGCACUUUCCACACUCGUGACGAUUUGUUUUAGACUUUGCGUUAACUGCUACUAUAAUCCAAAAAUCAUUGACCAUUUCUAUGAAACAUUUGCAAAAUCUAAGGAUAUUUGUGAUGAUUAUGAUUAUUUUGUCAAUACGAAAUCUUCUUACUGACCACUUAAGAUAAGAAAGAGGACAGUCUGGCCAGAUAUAUGUUCUUCCUUUAACAUCCGUUAUCUAGUUGGGUAUCAGUAAAUUGAACUGGGCUUGAGGUCUUUAAAUAUGAACAUUCAAUAAAUGCAUUUCUAGUUUGAUUGGGAAGUUUUACCCUUUGCUUUGGGAUGGUUCUUCUAACGAAAACGACUUUAAUUUCGGCUGUCUUAGCUCUUUUUUCGAAGCCAACCGCGGUCUUUCGUUGUUGAAGGACAUCUUGAUUAGUUGAGGACUACCAGAGGCCGUGUUUGAUUUACAACUAGACAUUUCAUAAGGUCAAGUAAUUCUAGACGUCGAAUUACUUAUUUAUUUAUUUGUCGCCAACUAAUGAAUCUUCAUUCGUUUCUUUUUAAUCAAAAUUUCGUAUCAACAAAAAAAAAAAGUUCACACAGGCUUGCCUUUAAUCCACAAUGUGUUUUCAAAAAAAAAAAAUCCACUGUAGAAUUAUAGCAAAAGUACAAAUAGUAACUUCAAACAGCUCAUAAUAUUAACCAAAACACCCUUACAGUUCUACAAUUCAGCAGAUUCAUUCUAUUUCAUAGGUUAUGUUGAUCAACAUCCACAAAAGUUAGCUGAGAAUAAAAAAAGAGUUGAAUUAAUAUGUAAACGUUACCGUUUUUAUUCAAUAAAUUAGAAAUACAUUAAAACAAAAUGCCCAUAUAAAGAAACCCAAGCUGAUAGCAGAUACAUUCAACACAAUCAUUGCUAAACUGUGUUCAAUACUCAUAACCAAAGUUUCACUAGCUAUUUAUUAAAUAAAACCAACUCAUUUGGGGCAGACAGGCUCGAAUGCGAAUGGACCAACGUUGAAAAGACUGUACUUGAGCUUAUUGAAGAUGAUCGUUGCAUUUUCAGGUUUCACCACUGGUUUUAGAAAGGAGCCCAAGUAUCCACCGUGGAGCUUCGACACUUUGCUGCAUUUAGCGUCCGGAGACUUCACUAGGUAAGCUCGGCAAUUUCUGAUGGCGUAGUUGGAUACCGUUUUAGGGGCAUAUAGCAGGAAAUAUCCGUUCUUGUCCGUAGUUGCCUCCGAUGUUGCGUUCUUCUUGUUUUUGCACAAAAGUCUCACCACCGCACCUGCAUACACAAAUAACAGAAAACAAAAUAAAAGUAAAUAACUAGCAUUUGUAUGAACUUGUUAAACGGAUACCAAAAAGCGACUAGUAAAUAUGAACGAAUUCCAACUAAUUCAUAGUAUUUGUUUAAAAUUAUUGUGGUAAAUUUAUUUUACCUUUGUCAAUUUAAAACUUUUUGAUGAGGGCAUGACAUGAAUAACAAACAAGUUUUUUUUUACCAGUUGAGCUAAAGCUGAUCAGAUAGAAGAUAUAGGGAACAAGGACGCGCUGCAUAUUUGAUUGUGUUAACCAAAAAUUUAUUAUUAGUCUCACAAACACAUUUUAACUAAUUCAUUAUCUUAAUGUGGUUUUCUAUUUUAAUGGUAAACUAGAUUCUGACCCGCCCUUCCGAAGGGCGGGUAUACUUUUUGUUUUUAUUUUUUUAAAGAAAUUUAAUUUUUAUAUUUUUUUUGUCAUCAUAUUUAUGUUAUUCUUUAUAAUCAUAUUUGUGCAUAAAUUUUAAUCAAAAAAUAUUAUAUAAAAUAAUAGCAACUUAAAAAUUGACCCGGCAUACUCUAUUUUCUUUAUAAUCAUAUGUAUGUAUACCUUUUUUUUGUAAUCAUAUUUAUUUAUUCUAGAUUUUUACCCGCACGUAUAAUGUUACUUUAUAAUUUCUUUAUUUUUUGUAAAUAUGUAACAUUUUUUAUAUGUUAAAAAAAAUGUUUGUGUAUAAUAUUUUUAAAAAUUAUUAGUAUUAAAACAGUCCUAAUAUAUUAAAAUAUUCUUAAAAUGAUUUAAGUAUCUGCAUUGGAGAUGAAUCUAAACCUGUAUAAUAAUGACCUAUCAAAUGCUUCAAAUAAUUUAUGAGAUUGUUAUCGAAAGUUUUUAAAAACAAAAAAGAGAUGCAUCUUAUCAUAUAAAUCUAAACCGUCAGAAGUCGGUUAAUAUACGUAGGUGAUAGAACCUGGGUCCCACCACUAUUAGAAUUUUUGUGAAAAAUAAAAGGAAUACGGUUAUAAACUUAUACCCAAAUUUUUAGAUGCAGUAAUAUUAUUAAGUUGGACACAACAUAUAUCAAUGGGUCAUGAUCCUAAUUUAAUAGUAUUGAUUUAUGUUUAUCCAUUAUGAUUUUUUAUUAAGGGACAUGAACUAUCCUUCACCCGGCUGAGCUAAUCUUGCGUGGUAAUAUAGUUAACAGUUUAAACAAAAAAAUGUGAACACUUUCCCGGUGAAAUACGUAUAGGGUAAAGUAUGGGAGUGAAGCGUAGAUUUUUCAUCAUUAGUUUACAUAUGAUACGUACCUUUUUUUUUGUAACUUAUAUAUGAUACGUACCUUUAACGGGUUUGGCGCCUUGGAGAUUGUUUACACCGGCAUACUUGCAGGCUUUGCAGAAGACCACACCCCGCACGGCCACUAGUGUCCUGUUGAACUUAGGAGGAGAAACCGGUGGGAGAACAACCGGAGGCUUGAUCGGAGCUUUGGCUGGUGGGAGUGUUGGCACCUUGAUCGGAGCUUUGGCUGGUGGGAAUGUUGGCACCUUGAUAGGAGCUUUGGUAGGUGGGAGAGUGGGUAAUGGUGUUAUUAGUUUAACUGGAGGUACUUGAGCUAUAGUACUGAAAACAGAUGAAGUGAAGCAGCAAAGUGCUAUGAGAGUUAGCAAAACACUCUUACCGAUGAAACCCAUCUUUAUCUUCUUGCUUUUGUUUGUGUGUGAGUUUGGGUUAAUGUGAGAAGGUGUACUUAUAGGAGAUUUCAGGCUUCGAGUAUUGUUUUUAUAUUGUGUUGUGCGUAGGUAGAUAGCACAGUAGCACAUGCACACGUCUUGCGAGGUAUUCGGGAAGUUUCCGAUAACUCUUGUUAAAGAUUUUGAUUUAGAUCUCCUACAGUUCUUUAUUAUUUGUCAACCUGGUUUCAAUACUUAUUUUUGAGUCAUAUAUGUAAGUGUAAUGUGGUUUUCUAUUUUAAUGGUAAACUAGAUUCUGACCCGCCCUUCCGAAGGGCGGGUAUACUUUUUGUUUUUAUUUUUUUAAAGAAAUUUAAUUUUUAUAUUUUUUUUGUCAUCAUAUUUAUGUUAUUCUUUAUAAUCAUAUUUGUGCAUAAAUUUUAAUCAGCUCUUGUUCAAAGACCCGGUUUGAAUAAACGGUACGGGCAUGAGAGGAGUGUCAGGGCUGAGAACCAGAGAAGGAAAGUCCAGGAUGCUGGGGGAAAGUUUCUCGGGUAAUCCUGAAUGUACUGGAUGGAUCUUGAGAUGCUUCUUCGAGUUGCGGCGUUCGUAGAGUCGAAAACCUAGGGAGGAAGAAGAUUGCUUCUUGUUGGGAACAGCUUUGACUAGAGGAAUUGAGUACCUCUGUUCGGGUUUGUGGGUCGGGUUAGGCUUCUUGGAGGAUCCGGUGAGCAUCUGGACGACUUGCUUGAAGGAGGAAGCAUCGGUUUGGAAGAAGGUAGUUCGUUCAGACAUGGAGGUAACGUGUCGGGUCGGACUGCUGAUGCUGCUUGGUGAAGGAAGCGAGCUCUGUGCGUUAUCUUUGUAUCUUGGUGAAUUUUUCAUUGAAGCACGCGUUGAGAAAGAGGUCUCGUG